GGAGGGGUGGGAGAGCGGUUUAAUCCGGCGGUCUUGAAAACCGUUGAACGAGAGUUCCGGGGGUUCGAAUCCCUCCCCCUCCGCCA
rnacentral:tRNA from 1 species